ensembl:lncRNA
CUUAGAUCAGCUUAGAAUAAUGGUAUUAAUAACAAAUAGUGUUAAUGAGUAAUUUUGGGAAGAUAUAUUAUUAUUAUUAUUAUUAUUAUUUAGCCAUUUUGUAGAUUUUUUUCCUGUAAUAUAUUGAAUAUUUAAUGUAUGUAAAAUAUGUCAUAUAAAAAAUAUGUAAUGUAAAAUUAUGUAAUAUAAUAUGUUUACAUUAAAUUGCUUUUCUAUUUAGUAUAAUUCAUUAAUAAACUCUAUGAGACAUUUCAUGUUUUUUUUAGUUCUAGAAGGUAAAUUGCCUUUUUUUGCCAUUUCAUUUUUUCUUUUGGCUGUUGAUUUGUUUAAUUAACUUGCAAUUUCUUUGUAGAUGUUUUUGUCCAGUCAUAACAUCCAGACCACCAGUGUACCAGCACUCGGGCCUAAAACCUCUUUCUGAGGGUUGGUUUCUCUCUUUGGUUAUCUAGCUGUAUGAGUUUUAACACUUUUCAUAAAGCUAGAUAACCGAAAGUAGAAAUAAUUCUCAAAAUCUGUUGAAAACAGCAAGAGAGCACCUACUUUUACCUCAGAGUCUUAUUUCCAUCCAAAAUAUGGCACAAUAAAGUAACAACAACAAGGGCACAGCCAUCAGAGAGAGAGCGAGAGAGAGAUGCUUGGAGGAACAUUGCUACAUCUUCCCUUCUCCGCCUACCCAGAAAGCCCCAGUGCCAUCUGUACCCCUGUGGGGUGCGGGAGAAUCCGUGCCAGUGCCAGCGGCGACAAAACCCUCAUCAGCGUCCUGGAGCCCCGGCACCAACACAGACGGCACAGGGAGGAAGGGAGGCCAUCUUGACGGAGAUCUUACACAAGAAGCUAAGAUGGCUGGGCUGGCACAUGAGAUGUGGACUGAACUCGGUGGAUUCACACUUUGUUGAAAAUGAGACGAAAAUUGACUAAAUAUUCAUCCAGAGAGAACAAUGGGAGCCUCAAGCACCUGAAAGUUUAAGAGGCACAUAAAAUCAUGUGUGUGUAUAUGAGAGCUAAAGUAUUUUGUGUUUAAUAUAAAAGAUUUGUACUGUACAGUAUUAUACAGUAUUUUCAUUAAGAUUAUAUUUGCAUUUUUUACAGUUGCCUAAAGAUAUUUUUCUUUCUUUCAUAGCUAUUAAAAUGAGAAAUAUUAUGUGCAUCUUAUAUACAUAUAGUUUUGUAUUUUUACAUGUAUGUAUUUCCUGUUUUUAUGUUUGUUUUUUUCUGAUUUUUUUAUUUUGAUUUAAUUUUAUUUAUAAAUAAAAAAUUAUACUGUAUAUUGUAUUAUACGGAUGAAUAAAACUGUGAUUCAAAAGUGAAUGAUAUGAAUCAGCUUUGUAUUUGCAUUUUAUUGACGUCAGAUUGUGUCACACCUGGCAAGCCACUGAAGAGUUAAUUACUGUGAGUUAAUUAGCUUAAUUUGUAGGCUACAUAUAAAACACUUGUAGCCUAUAUUUUUUAGAAUGAUGUUCAUCCCGAAGGUCAGAUUUCAACGUGCAUCGUUAUGAAAGGUCUGUGUUUUAGUUACAAGGUUCUAAAUAAAAUAUUUUAAUAAGAACCCUUGAAAUAUAAUAAAUGACUUUAGCACGAUUAAUUUCCAAUCCAAUUUUGUUUUAAAAAUUUAAAAUAGAAACACACAUCCUGCAAAAGUGAUGUAAUUUUUCGUGAAAACGCCAGUGUUAUAAUUUACUAUGAAUUGAAAUGGCUGUAAUUAGAUAUAUGUAUUGUUUUUGUUUUAUUUUUAUUAUAAAACCACACACACACACACACACACACACACACACACACACACGCGUAUAAUAGGGCUUGGGCGUCGUGACGUCAUUACUUGGCGUGGCCGCCAUGCUGAUGGCCUCCUUUACUGCUACUCGGACUACUGCGCAGUGUUUAGACAUACUCCCUCUCAGCCGUGUGUCUUAAUUUGAUUAAUUAAAAAUCUAUUUCAACCAUGGUAAACCGUUGCUGUAUUGUGGGGUGUAAUAGCGCAACACAUAAUCGCCCUUUGAAAAAAAAUGGAUUAACUUGCCACUGCUUUCCUGCUUGGAGGCGCGACCACGGAGACCAAGUGAGGUAUAAUAUCUGAAUAUUAAUUUAUAUAGCUUAAGUAAACACUGAAAAUAAGGGAAAUUUCCUGGGCUACUCAUCCAAAAAACCGGAAAAUUUCUACAUUCAUCUUUCUGUUGCUGUCCCUCUGCUGACAGCAAAAAUUCGUACUACAAAACUGCUGCAUUAACUAAGCGAGAUUGUGAAGCUAUGUCUAACGUGACUUUGCUUACAUUGGUGUGAAAUCCUGCUCUCACAACAACCACGCUGUUAUCUUAACAAAGGCCAAUAUCACGCUAAGGUUGCUUUCAAGUAACGUUAAGCAAAACGAUGGUUUAAAAAUAUCUGUUUUGCUGGAAGGGCAACUGUGUAGCAACAGGACAACAGUCCGAUGGAAGGGCUAACGGGAUAUUUUACAGGAAAAUACUACAACGGGAAAAGAGCUCAAAUACACGAGAACCCCGGAAAAAAACGGGAGCGUUGACAGCUACUAACUAAACUUUUGAAACACAUAAGUUAGUUAAAAGUACAUGUGAAUGGUUGUUAGCACUAACGGUAACUAAACUAGCAACUAGGCGGAGUGCAGUUUACCUUUGUCUGGAUUACUGUAUACUGUUUGCCGGCUUUAUGAUCUGCAGCUCCCUAACCCAUCCAUUUGUGAACUGCACAUGAGACUCCAAUGACUUGUAGCUUCGGAACUGUUCUGAAGUGUAGGCGCUCACAAAACAAACAAGGUAGCCGAAGAUAUCUGUAAUGCAAAAGUGCGGCAGCAACUCGUCGUCGGUGCUCCACUCUUUGUUGGGAUUUUCAUAUUGAUCCAAACCGUUAAUAGUGCCGAUUUUGUCCACAUACCGAUCCCUGGCAUCCCUACUUAGCGUAUCCCUGUAAAUCCCACAACCUUUUCGCGAUUUUAACAUAUUUUUUCUUUCUCCCAACUCUGUUUCUUCUCGUUCGACUUGCUGUAUGUUUACAUUCACGACGCCAUCAACAUGGCCGCCACGUCCCAGAAUGCAACGCGGCGCCCAAGCCCUAUUCUCGUUCAGGCUAUAGCCUAUCAAUUUCUCUAAUUCCUCGUGGGUUCAUGCAAAUGACUGAGAAUUUCUCUAUCAGUGACCUCUGUGCCAGCUAGCAGUAAGUGUUAAUUAGCCAAUGAAUAGAGGAGAUGUGAAGACCACGCGAAUUCACUAAUCCUACUAUGGCGAAGGAUUUCCAAUUCAUAUUCAUAAACGAAGCUUUCGACAUUUGGAAGGAUACCGAGCAACGUCAGCACGACCCACUUAGUAUUCAAGACACAAACGCUCCUCAUUGGAAGGUUACGAAUUAACGUCAGCGAAAUCAAAUAAAUAUUCAAGACAAGCUUGCACCAUUGGAAGCUGUAGCAAGAGACGUCGAAGGGCCUACUUAAUAUUCAAGAGCUAAGCUUUUGCCAUGGUAGGAUUCAUAAAUUCUCGUCAAGGAAAGGAUUUUCGUAAGAGACACUAUAAAAUAAGAUGUGUAUAUGUGUGUACAGCUGUGGAAAUGAAGAAGAAGAAAAGAUCUGCAUUAUUAAGUAGCCUACCUUUACAUAUAAGGAGCACAAACGCUUUUAAAAUAUGUUACUAAUUAUGUUAUUUAAAAGAAAUGUAGCUUCUGUGUCCCUCAGUAUCCUUCGUUGACAAAAUAGACCAAACGUAAAUUAGAUUCACGUUGAUUAACAAUAUUUCAGAUUAUUAAAAUGAUGGAAGAUUAUAGACUGUAUAAGAACUAUCACACUUUUCAAACACCAUAGACAAAUGUGAUCUUG